UCAACUCAAACCUCUCUCCAUCGAGCUCCAAAUUUGUCGGCCUCGUCGCAGGCGAUAUCAAGCCUCAGCGGACCUUGUAGCGGCAAACCCAUCGCCGACCAACCCAGCUGCCUGGUAGCCUACAAACUGUUCGAUCAAAUGUCUCAAUGCUCUGCAAGCUUACUUCUUUGACCUUUUGCAUAAGAAGAAGAAUAGUUUCCAAUGUUCUUCCUGAAUUGGAUUACAAUGAUGGCCUUGCUGACAGCAGUGCACCCAAUUUGAGACCUCUGCUUGGCAACUAGACAUGUCUUUUGUUUAAAAAAAAUUACUGUGAUGUUAAGCUAAUGUGGUGGUUGCUUCUUGCAUGAUCUUUGUUUUUCAAAUGUAAGAGAACAAUUGUAUAACUGGGUAUAUGCAACAAGUUAUUUCUUGAUACUCUGUAGUCCAUGAAUUAACAUAUGGUAAAGGGGAAAGUCAUAAACCUUUGGUAAGAAUGUCACAAUAGAUAUGACGAACAGCGCUAAAAUUGUUUGAUUAAUGCUUUUUGUCAAUUCAGUUUCUUCCAUUGUAUGUAUUUCAAUUGAAAUCAUGUUCUUUUGCUCUAUAAUAUGGUAUUUGAUUGUGCUCGAAGCAUUGAUCCCUCCUUUACCUUGCCAUGGGCUAGAACCUCAGCGGAUAACUACCAUCAAUCUGGGUAUUCCUUCUCCUUAUUUCAUGAAAAUAUUUCCUAUAUGUGCUAUGAACAAUUAUUUAUUCAAGCUGAUUUUUCUAACUAUUUUUUUAAUAGGGGCAUUCCAAUAAAUGAAUCUUUUGAAACCUGCUUAAGGGCUGUGCAGAUCCUGCCUGAAAGUUUUUUUCCCUAGCAUGGCUAAUGUCUUCACUUGUCAGUAUAAGAAGGCCAAGCAGCUAACACCAUGGUGUUUUGAUGAUACUUUGAAAUGCUGAUCAGGCGGAUAUGCUUUUCUGUUAUCCAUAAGCACUCUACGAUUGCACUAAUGCAGGCUGGUCUUGCAACUGAAGCAGUGCCAGAGUGUGAAGAGCUGAGAACUCAAGAUAUUUUCCAGGUGCUAUAAAAUAUAUUACCAAUAAUCAGACGUACAACAGCCGGACCAGAGAAGCAGACAGUAUCAUCGGUUCUUGAUAUUCUAUUUUGUACAACAGUUCCUGCUGAAACAAUCAUUGAAUGCAAAAGCAAGUGAAACAUGGAAAUUUUACAUAUGCAACGAAGAUCAUACGUUUCAAUUGUUUUAUAUGAUUAUACCGAAAUAUCACCAUUAUGUAUCUGAACUUCCCGAAUAUUUGUAGUUUCCAACCAAACAAAUCUGAAUAGGAAUGAAUUUUCCAGCAGAACUAUAUCUGCAAGCA